rnacentral:lncRNA from 1 species
GUUCAUUUCUCUGACCUCGCCUAAAGUCUGUCUCAUGGAAAGAGGAUUAAAAGGACAAUCAGCCAAGAGCUGUUGCUUACUUAUUAUUCAGAAUGGACGGAACAGAAACAAGGUGACUUCACUCUUCCGACCCUGCAAAGCCCACUCUUACCAUAUGCAUUGUCUGUGGGCAAAGUCAAAGAAGAAAACAAAGGCAAAUAAAUUAUUCUAACCCUGACAACCC